rnacentral:lncRNA from 1 species
CUUGAUGUGAUCCUCUUCAUGAGGAAGCUUGGACUUCUCCCUGCUUCACAGAUGGGUUACGAGAUAGUCCAGAGAAGCUGCAUUCUAAGAAGCAUUAUGACCUGUCUUCUUAGAAACAACACGGCAUCACUUUUACCACAUUCUUUUGGUCACAAGGAGAGGGAAUUACACAUCACCUGAUUUUGGAUGCAUGUGUGAGGUAUGCUACUGUACUCACAAGACAUCUGAAACUAUACCCAGAUCAUCUAGAAGUGAACAUGUUCCAGGUGAUGUCCCUAUGUAAAC